rnacentral:misc_RNA from 1 species
GGUAUCCUGUGUUGCUUACCCAUGAAAAGGAAUUCGAUGGUUUUGUUGUCCCCAUCCGCCUUGAGCCUUUAGGGGCGUGGGGCGGACUCGAGGCGGGCUCCGUGUUCCCCGCGUGUCGAGUGCGUUGACGCUCGGCCGCUGCGGCCCACGGGGUCUCGGCCCGUGCUCUCGGAUGCGGAAUGCUGUGUGUGGGCGUGGGGGGUUUCGGCUCGUUCUCGUCCAAGCCACACUGGUUGUCCCUUGACAUGAACGACCGCGGCGUCCGUCUUGAUCGGCCGACCGAGCUCCCUUUGCGGGGUUCCGGGAGGGCGGCUCAUGCGGGCGCUUGCGUCGGAGAGGAAUGC